ACGUUUGUUCGAGUUCCUGCUUUCAGUUCUUUGGGGUAUAUCCUUAGGGUGGAAUGGCUGGAUCAUAUGGUCGUUCUGUGUUUAACUUUUUGAGGAACCACCAGCCCCCAGAUCACUUUUGAAUGCGUCACCAUAGAGCGUGCUCGCCUAGUGCCACUGUGUACUUAUUUGUAAAAGCAGAACCAUUACCUCUUAGGGAUAGGACUUCAGAGGUCAGCUGGUCUACCCACUUCCUUUUGGUGGAUGGGACUGAAUCACACAGGGAUUGGCCAUUUCCAGAAUAUUGUAUAAGUGGAAUCAUCCGUUAUGUAGCCCUUUGAGAUCGCUUCUCUCACAUAACACAGUGCUUCUGAAAUUCAGCCACAUUGUUGUAUCAGUGGUGUGCUCUUUUUUAUUGCUGAGUAGCUUCUUUUGUGUGGCUA